GUCAGCAGUCAUAUCACCCUGCAACACACAGCUGGCAGCCCACUGAAGCUAAGCAGGUGUGAGCCUGGUCAGUACCUGGAUGGGAGACCUACUGUGAAAAACUAAGGUUGCUACUGGAA
rnacentral:rRNA from 1 species